UAGUCAUAGCUCUGCCCUAAUUGGCGGCGGAAAUGUCUAAUGGCGGUUGCGGGCGUUGGGAUGUUGCGUGCUGGUAAAGAUGAGGUUUUGUAGACUCAGCGCACGUGUCACAUCUUUGUAACGUCCAUUGUUCCUUUGCUUUCCAUUGUUUAGACACAUCUCUUUUUGUACACUGAUGGGAGUCUUUGUUUAUAUUUAUAAUAUCUAAUUCUUAUAUUGGGCCAAUGUAGGAGGUAACACUAAGCAUAAGCCUGAGAAAAAUUACAUUCCCUAGAGGAGCUCCUGUGUCGUGAGAUUGCGUGUCCUUUCGGCUUGUUGAGUGCACUUCUUCAAAAGCACGGGACUGGCACCUAACAAAAGGAUGUCAAACUCAAUCUCUCACCAUUUUAAAUUAAGUAUAGCAGCAAUUUUGCAAUACUAUUUUUCUUUUCCUGACAAAAAAGUAAUAGUUGGCAAGGAUUAAAUGAAAUGUUUUUACUUUUCCGAUACAUGUUUAGAUUAAAUGAUAGUAUAAUGAUUGAAUUGUAUAUUGUCCCCUUGGUAAUAAAUCUUAUAUGAAGUAUUUGUAAAUAAAUGUUAUGUUUUAAGUAGAAUUAUUUCUAGAAAAAUAACUGCACUAUUUAUUCCAUAUAAGGAUGUAACUGAAUGAUCUGUACAAACUUUGAGAAUAAGUUCAAGAGACCUAACAAAUAGAAAAUAUUCUAUGAACAUGGGAUCAUAAAUGUUUGCUUAUAUAGUUAUGAUGAUUCAAAGUUUUCCUGCAAUGACUAAAGAAAUUAUUAUGUCAAAUGGAUAUAUAUAAUAAUAUAAUACUAUAAAUACUGCUA